rnacentral:misc_RNA from 1 species
CAGUUGUGGCAACUUAAAACUAUUUCGAAGUGGCAACCUGUAAAGGUAUUUUUGACCUUCUGAACAAUGAGGAAGUGGGGAAUAAAAUGAGGUAAAAUGCAUGAUUUAGUCGGUGACCAUGGAAAAGUUUGGAUGUCAUUCAGUCAGAGGGAAUCUUGAUGAGGACCUAAGUCAAUGCAAUGUCUUCAAGUAAAAACCAUAUGCAAGGGCUUAGUAAUGAUGGGGCUCAGACUCAAAACUCUUAUUCUAUAAACAGGCAUAAUGUUGAAGCAAAUCUUACAAAGAGAAGGUUUAAAAGUGAUGAAAAUUUCACUUAUUCUGAAGACAGAGAGGCAAUGGAGCUUUAUUCACGAUUGAG